GUCUUACCUGCCCACUGAGUAAUUAAAAGGCCGCGGUAUUUUGACCGUGCAAAGGUAGCAUAAUCAUUAGUCUUCUAAUUAGAGACUGGAAUGAAAGGUAGGACGAGGUACAAGCUGUCUUCAUAGAAGAAGAGAAUUUAACUUUUUAGUUAAAAGGCUAAAAUGAAAUUAAAGGACGAGAAGACCCUAUAGAACUUUAUAAGUUGAAGUAAGAUUUUUAGGAGAUGGUUUUAUCUUUAUUUAAAACUUAUUGCGUUGGGGUGACGGGGUAAUAAAUUAACUUAUCUUAUACAUAACAUAGUAAAUGACCAAAGGAUCCAUAAAUAAUGAAUAAAAAAUUAAGUUACCUUAGGGAUAACAGCGUAAUCCUUUUUGAGAGUUCAUAUCGAUAAGAGGGGUUGCGACCUCGAUGUUGGAUUAAAGGUAAUUUUAGGUGCAGCCGCUUGGAAUUAGGGUCUGUUCGAC
rnacentral:rRNA from 1 species